AACUGAGCCCCACUCUCCUGGGGAGUGCAAGCGUGGGUAACUGAGCCCUGCUCUCCUGGGGAGUGCAGGCGUGGGUAACUGAGCCCCGCUCUCCUGGGGAGUGCAAGCGUGGGUAACUGAGCCCCACUCUCCUGGGGAGUGCAGGUGUGGGUGACUGAGCCCCACUCUCCUGGGGAGUGCAGCCGUGGGUGACUGAGCCCCGCUCUCCUGGGGAGUGCAGGUGUGGGUAACUGAGCCCCGCUCUCCUGGGGAGUGCAGGUGUGGGUGACUGAGCCCCGCUCCCCUGGGGAGUGCAGGUGUGGGUAACUGAGCCCCACUCUCCUGGGGAGUGCAAGCGUGGGUAACUGAGCCCUGCUCCCCUGGGGAGUGCAGCCGCGGGUAGUGACCUGCUGGCAGGGAAAACCACUUCAGUCAUUUUCAAGCCAGGCCUGCUGUGCUUCUAGAUGCCCCGGGCUCUUGUCAUUAGAUGUCUGACUUGUCACCGAGUCUGGUCUCACAGUUUGCCUUUUCGUGCUUGGAGGAACAGGGAGAGGGCGGGACCUCCUAAGGGAGUUCUUGCCAGUAAUCAGAGUAUUCUGCCUGUACUGUAUUGUAGUAAUUGGUUCAUUUUGUAAGGCAGUGAGAGACUCAGAAUUCUGAGACGUGAGGCCAGGGUUAUCACCAAAGCCCGUUUGUGGUGGUGUUUUCCUUUGUUUAAAAAUCAGACAGAUCUACCCACUAGUUCACUCCCCAAAUGUCUGCAACAGUAGGGGCCAGGCCAACCCAAAGCCAGGGGUCAAACUCAUUCCAGGUCUUCAUGGGGCUGGCAGGGACCCAAGUACUUGGGCCACCAACUGCUGCCUCCCAGGAUAGGCAUUAACAGGAAGCCGGGACUUGAACCUAGGGACUGAGCUGUGGGUGUGGGCAUCCCAGGUUGCAGCGGAAGUGCUGUGCUGAGUACGCCAGGGCUUUUUUAAUUUGGCUGGAGAUUUUAGGAGGAUUACAGGUUCUGCAGGUUUCUUCCCUUGAGUGUUAGAAAUCAAGCAGUGGUGGAGAGAACGCCGUCUGCACCAGCUCUCACGGCUCCCAGCUGUUUUCCCCGUUAAACUCCUGAUGAUCAGCCCAGUUGUGGCCAGCACUUCCAUCACUCUUAGGGGGUGAGAUAAAGAAGCAGGUGUAGAAGAGUCUAGACAAAGUGAGGUCUCAAAAGCCGGCAUCACACACUUGCUGCCAUGUGGGAACUCCACAGGCCACCCCCGGUCAGCCCCUGCUGCUCCUCAGGCAGUUGGCCAGGGCUUUCUCCCAGAGGAAGGAAGCCCCACAUGGCACAGGGCUAAGGUUAGAGCUGCUGGGUUAGAGAACAAGUUCUCGUUCUUGCCACUCACGCACUACUAUGAAACCUUGUAGCUGGCCGUGUUCAAGUCGGGGGAGAGGCAGCUGGGAGCCAGGGUCGGCAGUGGCACCAGAUGAGAUGGUGACACGGUGCUGCGAUGAUGUAGCCUGAGUGCUUUCGCUCCAGCAACCGGAGAAGGCCACAAGUGCCGUGUUGGCUCCCAGUGGGCUUACUGUUCACCUCGUUGGCGUUGGCUUCGUUUUGGGCAGCAGCUCCACUGGGGUCUGCUCUCCCAGGGAUGCUGGCACUGACCUCACUUGCCUUUAUUUGGUAGUUUCUCAGAGGAGUCCAGCUCUGCACCUGCUCGCCAUUAGGGCAAAAUCAGACAACCAGGCGUCUCAUUUUUAAAGGGUUGUCAGCAAGGUGAAGUCCAGGCGGAGCCAGGAAGUCGAGCUGGUGUGGACUAGCGGGGCGCUGCCAUGGUGCAGAAGGGCAGGGCGGUCACACUGAGCUGAAAGGGAGCUGACACUGCGGAGUCACAUCUGGGCGCUGCGACUUCGUCAUACGCACUGGGAGCUCAGCCGCGUGCUGGGAAGCUGAAGGCGGUGUGUGUGCAAUCACCUCUUACUGACCCAGUUCCUACCAACUCCUGUGGGCCUGCAAAAGGUACACGUGACUCAUCCUGAAAUACUACUUUCUUUUCUUUAAGUCCCAAAGCAAGUCUCCAUGUUUGUGUGUCCAGUGCACAGCCUCAGGUAUGCGACAAGGCAUCUGACUCAUUGCAAACGGGCCAUGUUGCUGGGCUCCUAGCUGCAGCUCUGUUGCUUCACUCUCAAAAUGUCACCGGCGUGGGGGGACGUGUUCCCCAGAGCCAGCCCUGUCUGCCUUGCCCCGCUCCAGAGUGGUCCGGUGGUUCAGUGCCAGUGACAUCCCAGUGCUUGUGACUUCUGAGCGUCUUAGCAGGCCCUCUCUCCUAAUGGAAUGUGGAUUCAGGUGGACAGUUAGUGACCAUCCCUUUACCGUGAACACUUCGCAGUUCUGCCCUCAGAAGGACCUUGAGGGACAAAGGGCCCUGCUUCUCCUUCCCUGGAAUCCCAUUCACACAGGGCAGUUUCACUGAUGUGGGAGAGGGAAUUUGGGGGAAACCCCCACUGUUCAAGGUAUGAGAAUAUUUAUUGAAUAUUCUGCCUGUUAAUAAAAAUGCUAACUUCAACUGUG